rnacentral:rRNA from 1 species
GAUGAACGCUGGCGGCGUGCUUAACACAUGCAAGUCGAACGGAAAGGCCCAAGCUUGCUUGGGUACUCGAGUGGCGAACGGGUGAGUAACACGUGGGUGAUCUGCCCUGCACUUCGGGAUAAGCCUGGGAAACUGGGUCUAAUACCGGAUAGGACCACAUUUUGGAUGGUGUGGUGGAAAGUUUUUCGGUGUGGGAUGAACUCGCGGCCUAUCAGCUUGUUGGUGGGGUAAUGGCCUACCAAGGCGUCGACGGGUAGCCGGCCUGAGAGGGUGUACGGCCACAUUGGGACUGAGAUACGGCCCAGACUCCUACGGGAGGCAGCAGUGGGGAAUAUUGCACAAUGGGCGCAAGCCUGAUGCAGCGACGCCGCGUGGGGGAUGACGGCCUUCGGGUUGUAAACUCCUUUCGCUAGGGACGAAGCGUUAUGUGACGGUACCUGGAGAAGAAGCACCGGCUAACUACGUG